CCUACGGGUGGCUGCAGUGGGGAAUAUUGGACAAUGGGCGAAAGCCUGAUCCAGCCAUGCCGCGUGUGUGAAGAAGGCCUUCGGGUUGUAAAGCACUUUCAGUGGGGAAGAAAGCCUUGGGGCUAAUACCCUCGAGGAAGGACAUCACCCACAGAAGAAGCACCGGCUAACUCCGUGCCAGCAGCCGCGGUAAUACGGAGGGUGCGAGCGUUAAUCGGAAUUACUGGGCGUAAAGCGCGCGUAGGCGGUCUGAUAAGCCGGUUGUGAAAGCCCCGGGCUCAACCUGGGAACGGCAUCCGGAACUGUCAGGCUAGAGUGCAGGAGAGGAAGGUAGAAUUCCCGGUGUAGUGGUGAAAUGCGUAGAGAUCGGGAGGAAUACCAGUGGCGAAGGCGGCCUUCUGGACUGACACUGACGCUGAGGUGCGAAAGCGUGGGUAGCAAACAGGAUUAGAUACCCGAGUAGUC
rnacentral:rRNA from 1 species